rnacentral:lncRNA from 1 species
CCAGUUAUGUGCCCCUAACAACAAGUAUGUUUCAAAGAACCAUUGGCAAAUAAAAUACCAGCUAUAUAUUUAGCAAAUCAAGCAAACAAGCUCAAUGGACCAGCCUUUAUGUAGCUGAAGGGGUAACCAUGUGCUCAGCUAAGCAGCAAGGAUUUUAAAUAUUGGGAUGCAGGCUGAAAGCUUUGUUUCACUUGGAAUGAUGAACAGAAGAAAACGCAGCAGAAGAACAUGAUUCCUG